UACGUAGGGUGCAAGCGUUGUCCGGAAUUAUUGGGCGUAAAGAGCUCGUAGGCGGUUUGUUGCGUCGGCUGUGAAAUCCCCGAGGCUCAACCUCGGGUCUGCAGUCGAUACGAGCAAACUAGAGUGUUGCAGGGGAGACUGGAAUUCCUGGUGUAGCGGUGAAAUGCGCAGAUAUCAGGAGGAACACCGGUGGCGAAGGCGGGACUCUGGGCCGAUACUGACGCUGAGGAGCGAAAGCGUGGGGGAGCAAACAGG
rnacentral:rRNA from 1 species